rnacentral:rRNA from 1 species
UACGUAGGGUGCAAGCGUUAAUCGGAAUUAUUGGGCGUAAAGCGCGCGCAGGCGGUCCUUUAAGUCUGAUGUGAAAGCCCACGGCUCAACCGUGGAGGGUCAUUGGAAACUGGGGGACUUGAGUACAGAAGAGAAGAGUGGAAUUCCACGUGUAGCGGUGAAAUGCGCAGAUAUCAGGAAGAACACCCGUGGCGAAGGCGGCUCUCUGGAACGCAACUGACGCUGAGACGCGAAAGCGUGGGGAGCAAACAGG